GCCGGAUCUUACGCACGGAGCCGAGCGGGCCAUGGAAGCGGCGUUCCGACUCUCCCACGCCCCCCAGUGGUCAAACCAAGAACCGCUAAAGGUGUGGUGAAAAUACACAAACUUAGUAUGUUACUAAAUGUAUUAAAAAACACAUAAAAAGAACAAAAUUACAGUUGCUGAAGUGAAUUAUUCUUUUUUAACUGAAGAUCGUCUCCUUUGCGUAGCUGUGCCACCCAAAAACCUUUUUAAUACCUCGCAUGAACUAAUAAACAAAAAUCAUACUUAACCUGGAGCAGCUCGUUAAAUUGUCGUUAAACGAUCAAUAUGACGUUAUGGAGGAACUAUAGAGCCACCAUGCGGCCGCAGCGUUAUUUUAUUUUGAAAAUAACAACAACUAACCGGACGUAUUAUUUUGUUAAAAAGUAUAAUGAGCAACCGUUGCCGUCGCUGUUUGCCUUGUGUAGAAAUCUUACCUGAGGCCACAUGCAGCUGCACGCUGUCAAACCCCCCCCAGGUGCACCAGCGUUAAUUAAUCUGCCCGCUUUCCCGACUAGAAUGAAACAAUAUUCAUUUAGUAUUUGACUUUAAUGCGGUGCAACAACGAUGGCGUGGAGGAGGAGACGACCGCGCUCACUUCCAGGUGGGAACUCUGUCACUACUUUUCUUGUUUCCACCUUAACGUUAUAUUUUGUAACAUGGGCUGAAAAUGUGUUUAAAAAAAAAAAAAGCUUGAGCAGAAGAUUUCACAAUAAGAAAAUUUACCAGCACUUGUUGUUGUAUUUUCAAAGUUUUAAUUUAACUACCUUCAAAUAUCUUAUAGAUAACAGUAACAGACCUGUUCCCAACAACAUGGACCACCUUGCUUUCAAGUACAUGGUAAUUAGUUAGCCACAUUUUAGCACCAUAUUGAGACUGAAAUGGAAAAACUUAAGUUUUUGCCUGUGUGUAAACGUGGACUGAAGUGACUUCUGUUAUCUGUCAAGGAGAUGUGUAAGGUGGACACUGACUCGGACUCUGACUCAGAAAUCAGUCCCAGAUGGUCCGACACCAGCUCCAUGGGAUGCGUGAGCCGUGUGCCGCGGCGUGGGAUACUACGCCGGACGCUGCCACCUAAGACAGCAGCAAGACACGGUUGUUCUUCGUUCUUAGACCCGUAUGAUGGGAGCUCUGAGGAUUCUGAUGACGCAGGCGUCUCGAGGCAAACGAAGCAGCAAGGCAGAGGCAGCGGCGCCGGAGGCUGGUCGUCCGGCCGAGGCAGGAGGUCUGUGCCUCCGCACCCAGCUUCUAUUGGUCUUAGACAAGAGAUAAGGGACCCUGUAGCAGAGCAUCACCUUCAUUUGGACGUUCCGAUGACAUGUGGUAGUGACUCUGAGGUGUGGGUCUGUGAGCUAGACAGUUUGUCUACACAUAAUGACAUAAUGGACGGCGGUAGAGAUGUCACUGUAGCUGCAAAUGGUUCAACGAUGCAAACCCAAACCACAGGCAUUGAACUGCAACUCGAUGAUGCCGCGCACCACACAUUUGGACCUCUCGCACCAGUGAGAGGAAACUUGCCCCAGCUGCAGGACAGCUCCUCCGAGAGGUCCGUGAGCCCGUGUAACCUCACCUCUAUUUACAAGAGAAAGCUGGGUCUCCCCGGAGCAGAUGUGGGAGAGUUGGGGCAAAGAAAACGGCAAUGUGUUGACAUGGAGGACGAACACAACGCCAUGGACUCUACGUCUGACCCGUUUUAG
ensembl:lncRNA uncharacterized LOC114848229